rnacentral:rRNA from 1 species
UACGUAGGGCGCAAGCGUUAUCCGGAAUUAUUGGGCGUAAAGAGCUCGUAGGCGGUUUGUCGCGUCUGCCGUGAAAGUCCGGGGCUCAACUCCGGACUUGCAGUGGGUACGGGCAGACUAGAGUGUGGUAGGGGAGACUGGAAUUCCUGGUGUAGCGGUGAAAUGCGCAGAUAUCAGGAGGAACACCGAUGGCGAAGGCAGGUCUCUGGGCCACUACUGACGCUGAGAAGCGAAAGCAUGGGGAGCGAACAGG